rnacentral:rRNA from 1 species
AGCAGUCGCCACGGUAAUACAGAGGGUGCAAGCGUUAAUCGGAAUUACUGGGCGUAAAGCGCGCGUAGGUGGUUUGUUAAGUUGGAUGUGAAAUCCCCGGGCUCAACCUGGGAACUGCAUCCAAAACUGGCAAGCUAGAGUAUGGUAGAGGGUGGUGGAAUUUCCUGUGUAGCGGUGAAAUGCGUAGAUAUAGGAAGGAACACCAGUGGCGAAGGCGACCACCUGGACUGAUACUGACACUGAGGUGCGAAAGCGUGGGGAGCAAACAGGAUUAGAUACCCCAGUAGUCCCUGUCUCUUAUAC